GCACGCUGCCACGCCGACGCAGACCCCUCUCUGCACGCCAGCCCGCCCGCACCCACCAUGGCCACAGUUCAGCAGCUGGAAGGAAGAUGGCGCCUGGUGGACAGCAAAGGCUUUGAUGAAUACAUGAAGGAGCUAGGAGUGGGAAAAGCUUUGCGAAAAAUGGGGGCAAUGGCCAAGCCAGAUUGUAUCAUCACUUGUGAUGGCAAAAACCUCACCAUAAAAACUGAGAGCACUUUGAAAACAGCACAGUUUUCUUGUACCCUGGGAGAGAAGUUUGAAGAAACAACAGCUGAUGGCAGAAAAACUCAGACUGUCUGCAACUUUACAGAUGGUGCAUUGGUUCAGCAUCAGGAGUGGGAUGGGAAGGAAAGCACAAUAACCAGAAAAUUGAAAGAUGGGAAAUUAGUGGUGGAGUGUGUCAUGAACAAUGUCACCUGUAAUCGGAUCUAUGAAAAAGUAGAAUAAAAAUUCCAUCAUCACUUUGGACAGGAGUUAACUAAGAGAAUGACCAAGCUCAGUUCAAUGAGCAAAUCUCCAUAAUGUUUCUUUCUUUUUUUUUUUCAUUACUGUGUUCAAUUAUCUUUAUCACAAACAUUUUACAUGCAGCUAUUUCAAAGUGUGUUGGAUUAAUUAGGAUCAUCCCUUUGGUUAAUAAAUAAAUGUGUUUGUGCUAAUA